GCCUAACAAAACCACUUACGAGAACCUUCUAGAAACUCUCAAAAUCACUACACCCACACCCUUUGCUGAGCAGGUAAUCUCUACAUCUGUCUUGCCUUUUCGAAUAACUGAAUGCUUUGAGAUGCUUCAAUUAAACAACCACCGUUUAUUCCGAAAAUUGAGAUAACUAUAUAACCGAUAAAGACACGUGCAUGUCGUUUACUGAAAUUUUCUUUGGAGGGUUUUGUCUAUUAGCUAGCCUUGUUUUGAUUUUGAAUGUGGUGGUGGUGCAACUUGGAGCUACAGAACAAAAAAUCAAUUUGGACAAUAGUAAUCAAGAUGAUGAUGAUGUGAAAAUUGUAAGGAAACUGACAAAUACUGACAAGAACAACAAUAAUAAUGAAACACGCAGAUAUUUUCGUCUCCGAACUAGUAGUAUACGGUGCCAAUUCAGUCAACACGAUAACCAUCACUAUCACCAGAAAAUAAAUUAAAAACAUGUAUAGUAUAUACUUGGCCAAUGCUAUAUUGUUUAAAUUCUUACUUUUUUUAAUCAUGUGUAAAAUGACAGGAUUUCUUGAAUAUGUUCUUCGAGAAAACUUACAAACCGAUUCCUCUGAUCUACAACCUCGUUCUUGCUAUGCUGUGGCGCCACCCCGAAAAUGUCGAGCUUGAGAAAGUUCAAGUCGUUCACUACUGCGCUGCUGUAAGAUUUAUCCCACCUACACACACACACACACACACACACAUGUAUAGUAUAUGUAUAAUACAAUCGAAAUGACAUGGUUAAUAUGAAUAAAAUACCAGGGAUCGAAGCCAUGGAGGUACACUGGAGAAGAAGCUAACAUGGACAGAGAAGACAUCAAAAUGCUUGUGAAGAAAUGGUGGGAUGUUUACGACGAUGCUUCACUCGAUUUCAAGGCUGAAGAUUCUGUUGCAGGCUCAAGGCCAUCAAUCAUGGCUUCCAUGCCUGAACCCGCAGUUUCAUACAUCCCUGCCCCUUCUGCUGCUUAAGCAGAAGAAAAACAAAACACUGAAG
rnacentral:lncRNA from 1 species